rnacentral:lncRNA from 1 species
AGAGCAGGCAGGACAGAGAGAAGCACAGGAGAUCAGAUCUGCUACGGACCACAGAGCAGAGGCUUCCCAGCCCUGAGACCAACAGAAAUGCCAGGACUCACUGAAAUCCUUCAGAGGGAUUUUUUCUCAAAUGAAGAAUCCAAUAUAUUUUCUUAAGGAUGGAGAGAAAAGCAGAAAGAGAUAUUUCAGCCUGCUCUUCCCUUUGGAGAUGAGAGCAGCUGAAUGGAAAGGAUUAUGUAAUGUUUUGGGCUUGAUCCAGAUGCCUUUGCAGCUUGGCCUUUUUUCAUGUAGAGAGACAUUUACUUUCCCAAACCCAGGCACGAGGGAUGCAGUUGCAAGGAAACCCAAGAAAAUGAAGUUUACUCAUUUCUGACCAUUCCUGAUGGACACAACUGGAAAGUUCACCUUCCAUGAUGACUACACCACUUCUGAGAUUGUAUAGAUAUCACUUACUGACAUGAUGAUAAUAAUUUACAUAUCUAAAUGCACACUCUGGUUUUCCAUUCUUUAUGAUGACCAAAUCCUG